rnacentral:ncRNA from 1 species
UAAAACACUGUGAACGGGAGCAGUAAAAGAAUUCGGUCAGAAAAAGAGAGCUGCGGGGUGGUGCAACGCGGACUGAUUGGUCUUUGAACUCGCCCGGAAGUGGCAGGACGGAACGGAAUUGUCGGAAUAUUCCCUAUGUCCUAACGGCUGACCUUCGUUACCAGGUUCAAAAGCUGGAUUCCGGAUGUACGGAAUCAACAAGAGUGGUACCGCGGUUGGCCUAAGGCACGCCGUCUCUUUU